UACAACUUUCAGCAAUGGAUCUCUUGGCUCUCGCAUCGAUGAAGAACGCAGCCGAAUCGCGAUAUGUACAUGUGAAUUGCAGAUCUACCAGUGAAUCAUCGAAUCUUUGAACCGCACCCUUGCGCUCCUCCGGUGUUCCCGAGGAGCAUGCCUGUUUGAGCGUCA
rnacentral:rRNA from 1 species